GGAUGUGAGGGUGAUCUGGCUGCAACAUCUGUCAAUCCAUUGAUCACCAGGGUUGGUUCAGCUGAUCUGGCUGGCUAGGCGGGUGUCCCCUUCCUCCCUCAAUGCUCCAUGUGCAUUCCUCCCAACGCUGUGCUCUUGGUCGAAGAGGGAGACCACCCCCAAUAGAGGAGGACCAUUCCUUGGUCAAGGGUAUACGAGUAGCUGUUUCCCUACUAGAACCUUCAAACAAGCUCUCAAGAAUGCUCCUGUGAAGACUUAAGAUUCUUGUUAAAGAACAAAACAAAGUCUUCAGAUAAGUAAUCUAAGAUACUACUCUU
rnacentral:snRNA from 1 species